GAUGAACGCUGGCGGCGUGCCUAACACAUGCAAGUCGAGCGAUUCUCUUCGGAGAAGAGCGGCGGACGGGUGAGUAACGCGUGGGUAACCUGCCCUGUACACACGGAUAACAUACCGAAAGGUAUGCUAAUACGAGAUAAUAUGCUUUUAUCUCAUGGUAGAAGUAUCAAAGCUUUUGCGGUACAGGAUGGACCCGCGUGUGAUUACCUAGUUGGUAAGGUAACGGCUUACCAAGGCGACGAUCAGUAGCCGACCUGAGAGGGUGAUCGGCCACAUUGGAACUGAGACACGGUCCAAACUCCUACGGGAGGCAGCAGUGGGGAAUAUUGCACAAUGGGCGAAAGCCUGAUGCAGCAACGCCGCGUGAGCUAUGAAGGCCUUCGGGUCGUAAAGCUCUGUCCUCAAGGAAGAUAAUGACGGUACUUGAGGAGGAAGCCCCGGCUAACUACGUGCCAGCCGCCGCCGUAACAC
rnacentral:rRNA from 1 species